rnacentral:rRNA from 1 species
UGAAGGCUCUAUGGGUCGUAAACUGCUUUUAUACGGGAAGAAACCCUCCACGUGUGGAGGGUUGACGGUACUGUAAGAAUAAGGAUCGGCUAACUCCGUGC